rnacentral:lncRNA from 1 species
UCGAAUUACCCAAAUCACAAAAAAUUCAAAGAAAACAUAAAAGUUGAGUCUUUACAUUGAAUUUUAAGUUUCUUAAAUUACCCAAAUCACAAAAAUUUCUAAAAAUUCCUUCUUAAAUUUUUUGGCCCUCACUUUUCAAUCUUUUCGUAAAGCAUAAAGAAUAAGAAGAUGAAGAUGAUAAAACGAAAAGAAGAAUGAGAAGAGGAGGAAGAAGAUUAAGAAAAAGAAAAAAGAAGAAAAAUACAAGAAAG